UACGGAGGGUCCGAGCGUUAUCCGGAUUUAUUGGGUUUAAAGGGUGCGCAGGCGGGAUACUAAGUCAGUUGUGAAAGUUUGACGCUCAACGUCGAAAUUGCAAUUGAAACUGGUAUUCUUGAGUGCAGUGGAAGUAGGCGGAAUUCGUGGUGUAGCGGUGAAAUGCUUAGAUAUCACGAAGAACUCCGAUUGCGAAGGCAGCUUACUAUACUGCAACUGACGCUCAUGCACGAAGGUGUGGGUAUCAAAC
rnacentral:rRNA from 1 species